rnacentral:rRNA from 1 species
GAUUUCUGAUAUGGUGCGCGUGGCCCGCUGCUGAAAGGCAUGCGAGUGUCGCUUGUGCGUCUAUCAUACUGUUAGGGAAGCUAUCUCUCUCAAGGGGUAGUUGAACUGACUCGUUUACUUUGAAGAAAUUAGAGUGUUCAAAGCAGGCUUGCGCUGUGAAUAUAUUAGCAUGGAAUAAUAAUUUAGGACUUUGAUCCUAUUUUGUUGGUUUUAAGGGUUAAAGUAAUGAUUGAUAGGGAUAGUUGGGGGUGCUAGUAUUCAUCGGCCAGAGGUGAAAUUCUUGGAUUCGAUGAAGACUAACUUAUGCGAAAGCAUU